GGAUUGCCCUUGGGGACAUCAAGAAGAUGGAUCCCGGGUAUUCCCGGACCGCCGAACUCUUCAACUUGUGGCUGACAUCUGGUGACAUCCCGGACAUGGUGAGGGGGUGCAGGACUGUUUUGAUCCCGAAGUCAACAGCACCGGAGCGCCUAAAGGACAUCAACAACUGGAGACCCAUCACGAUUGGUUCCAUCUUGCUGAGGCUGUUCUCCAGGAUCCUGACGGCGAGGAUGACUAAGGCGUGCCCCCUCAACCCGAGACAGAGAGGCUUCAUCAGUGCGCCGGGAUGCUCUGAGAACUUGAAACUCCUGCAAUCCAUAAUUCGGACUGCCAAAAGUGAACACAGGCCAUUGGGUGUUAUAUUCGUGGACAUUGCCAAGGCUUUUGACACCGUAAGCCACCAACACAUCAUACACGUUUUACAGCAACGGAGGGUUGACCCCCACAUUGUCGGACUGGUGAGCAAUAUGUACAACGACAUCAGUACGUGUAUCACCACGAAGAAGGACACACACACAGACAAAAUCCAGAUCCGGGUUGGAGUGAAGCAGGGUGAUCCACUGUCACCCCUUCUAUUCAACCUGGCGAUGGACCCCCUGUUGUGCAAGCUGGAAGCAAGCGGCAAAGGAUUCCAUCGAGGACAGAGUUCAAUAACUGCGAUGGCAUUCGCUGAUGACCUGGUCCUGUUAAGCGACUCCUGGGAGAACAUGAAAGAGAACAUCAGAAUAUUGGAGACCUUCUGCGAUCUCACCGGUCUCAAGACACAGGGGCAAAAGUGCCACGGCUUUUACAUCAAGCCUACAAAGGACUCUUACACCGUCAACAACUGCCCUGCAUGGACCAUCAAUGGCACACCCCUGAACAUGAUCAACCCCGGGGAGUCAGAGAAAUACCUCGGCCUGCAGAUCGACCCAUGGACUGGAAUUGCAAAAUACGAUCUCUCAACAAAACUGAAAUCAUGGCUCGAAAGCAUUGAUCGGGCCCCACUUAAACCUCUGCAAAAACUCGAUAUCCUCAAAACAUACACCAUUCCUCGACUGACCUACCUGGCUGACCACUCGGAGAUGAAAGCAGGGGCUCUGGAAGCACUUGACCAGCAGAUUCGAACAGCGGUCAAGGACUGGCUGCACCUGCCCUCGUGCACCUGUGAUGCCAUCUUGUAUGUGAGCACGAGGGACGGCGGUUUGGGUGUUACUAAGUUGGCGGGACUGAUUCCUAGUGUGCAGGCCCGGAGGCUGCACCGCAUUGCGCAGUCACCGGACCAGACGAUGAAGGACUUCCUAGAGAAGGCCCAGAUGGAGAAAAUGUAUGAGAAACUAUGGAUUCAAGCUGGAGGCAAAAAGAAUAAGAUCCCGUCAAUUUGGGAGGCCCUGCCGGUAACUGUACCACCCGUUAACGCAGGCACUCUUUCGGAAUGGGAAGCACCGAACCCUAAAAGUAAGUACCCAAAACCUUGUGAUUGGAGGAGGAAAGAACUUAAAAAGUGGACGAAAUUAGAGUCCCAAGGUCGUGGAGUCAAAAAUUUUAGAAACGAUAGUAUCAGUAACGAUUGGAUCCAAUAUUAUAGACGCAUACCUCACAGGAAACUCCUCACUGCUAUACAACUCAGGGCUAAUGUAUAUCCCACGAGGGAAUUCCUCGGGCGGGGGAGGGGAGAUGAUUAUGUUAAGUUUUGCAGGCACUGCGAGAUGGACCUUGAAUCCUGUGGCCAUAUCAUCGGCUUUUGCCCAGUGACGAAGGACGCCCGAAUCAAGAGGCACAAUCGCAUAUGCGACAGGCUCUGUGAGGAGGCGCUCAAGAGAGACUGGGUGGUGUUCAAGGAACCGCACUUGAGGGAUGACACCAGGGAGCUGUUCAAACCGGAUCUGAUAUUCGUGAAGGAGGGCCGUGCACUGGUUGUGGAUGUGACAGUACGGUACGAGGCAGCAAAGACAACGCUGGAGGCAGCUGCUGCGGAGAAAGUGGACAAGUACAAACAUUUGGGACCCGAAGUGAGGAAACUCACCAACGCUACGGACGUUGUUUUUAUGGGGUUCCCCCUUGGAGCGCGAGGGAAAUUCUACAAAGGGAACUUUGAUUUGCUUGAGACUCUUGGCCUCCCAAAAACGAGGCAGAUAAGUGUGGCUAAAGACUCUGUCCACGUACGCGCUCACGUCAUCUGUGGACAUUGUGCACAUGUUUGCUAGUAAGGCUAGGAAACCUAUGUCUAGAUAGUCACUUUGCACUUUCUGUAACUUGCACCAGGGUGUGGGAUGUGGGUCUGGGGAUGUGGGUGUGGGUUAUGGGUAUUUUUAUGGGGACAUCUUUUGUAGAAUGGUCUAUUUAUUGUAUGUCUAUCUUUUUAAUAAAAAGACGGUAGCUAUGAUCGCAAAGCAGCCACAAGCCACUAGCCAGUUAGGUAGCUUCAUAGUGGGUAGGUGACAGGAUCUUUUGACUCAGAACGCGUCCAUUAACAUCUAUUACGGACCACUUACCGGACAUGCACCGUUUAACCGGAUUU